rnacentral:lncRNA from 1 species
AACUUGGAACUGCUUCUUUUGUUUGAAUCUUUUUUCUUCCACAUUUUUGAAAUUUUUCGAAAAUUUUGGGAAUUUGACUGUGCUUCAAUUUGUAAUUUAUUCCAGUACUAGCAAUUCAUGAACUGAGCCUGUAGAAACUUGAAACAACUUCUGUACUAAAUGUCAUGGACUUGGUUGAUAGGUCCAAUUUUGAUGCGCAAGAACUAGGAUAAGAGACCAAUGGUUGCUUCUUGCCAGUAUCUACAUCUCUAAACUUAUUCUAUGUCAUUUGCCGGCCUCUACUUCUAUGUAGCUUGCAUCACCCUUCAUUUAGCCAAAGUUUGCGCUGGUUACAGCCACACACUUCUUUAGCCAGAGACAUCUGAAAGUUUUGAAAUGGCAUACCAUAAUCUUGUCUUUGAGAUUAUCAGUAAUUAAUUUUACGGAAAAUGGUCACACUUUGUAUCAUGUCAACAAUAUCUGAAGAUUAAUUGAAAACGCUUUUGAUGUGUGAUUGAUCUACCUUAUUCCGGUGUUCAUUUUGUAGAUGAUCAUAAUCUUGAGUCAUGAUCCCUAUCCCUAGCUGAUUAUGGUGCUUUGUUGGGUCUACCAUGGGCUACCUUAUUCCGGUGUUCAUUUUGUAGAUGAUCAUAAUCUUGAGUCCUGAUCCUUAUAGCCCUGGCUAAGUAUGGUGCUUUGUUGGGUCUACCAUGGACUACCUUAUUCCGGCGUUCAUUUUGUAAAUGAUCAUAAUCUUGAGUCCUGAACUCCUGAUGCCUACCCCUGGCUGACUAUGGUGCUUUGUUGGGUCUACAAUGAAUCCCAAGUUCUAACUGUGAGUCAGUGAGUAUGCACUUUUCACACUGCAGUACCAAUUGUUGGGCCCAAUAAUUGUGAGUAUACCUUAUAUUGGGCCAACAAUUAUUGAGUUGAUUGGCACAAUGUCACGAUUACCCACCAGGCACCACUCUGCAAGUCUGCAGUCCCACUAGUCCACUACCACUUUGUUGUCUACUCUUCUAGAGUUCCAGUCUCAACUUGUGUUCUUUACUCUUGUACAUGCAUCAUAAGAAUAGAGAAUAGAUUAAACAAGUAGUACAUAUUCAAUGGCAAGCACCAUCUCAGUUCUUGAGCUGCGGAUUACUUCACUAUAGGUUGUCACAGAGAUCACUAUCAGUUACACAAAAUGUAUCCACUUCCACAUUUAAUUUACCAGUUCUGAAACACACAAAUUACUAGUUACUACAUCUCAAUUGGAUUUAGCCUAAAACAACAUGGAUCACGUUUGACCUAUCUUCCUUACCCACGUAGAAGCAGAAGCAGGUUAAACCGUUGAACUACUUUGAGCAAAACUCAAGUUGCAAGAAUCAUCGAAUAUUCAAAUUAUGGUAAGAUCCAAACAUAUUUUCUCGAAUUAGUCAGAUGUGGUAGGAUCAUCAAUUUUUUAUUUUUUUUCAAGAACUGACCAAAACUUGUGGAUACUUUAAUAUAUAUCCACCAAAACAAACUUGUGGAUACACUUCUAGUCUCAACUCUCAACUUUAUUGAUGGGAAGUGCAUGAAGUCAGAAUUCAAAAGUUGCAGUGCUUUAUGAUAU